AAAGACUUAGUCCUAACCUUACCGUUAAUUUAUGCCAAACAUAUACAUGCAAGUAUCCGCGCCCCAGUGUAAAUGCCCUUAGCCCCUUACUCUAAGGCAGUAGGAGCAGGUAUCAGGUCCACCAGCAGUAGCCCAAGACACCUUGCCUUGCCACACCCUCACGGGUACUCAGCAGUAAUUAAUAUUAAGCAAUAAGUGAAAACUUGACUUAGUUAUGGCACUUAUCUCUAAGGGUUGGUAAAUCUUGUGCCAGCCACCGCGGUCACACAAGAGACCCAAAUUAACCGUUACACGGCGUAAAGAGUGGGCAUACUUACUAUCCAAGUAACUAGGAUUAAAGUGCAACUAAGCUGUCAUAAGCCAAAGAUGCUCCUAAACCCGCCCCAAAACGAUCCUACUUCCACGGACCAAUUAAACCCCACGAAAGCUAGGACCCAAACUGGGAUUAGAUACCCCACUAUGCCUAGCCCUAAAUCUCAAUGCUUACUUUACUAAAGCAUUCGCCCGAGAACUACGAGCACAAACGCUUGAAACUCUAAGGACUUGGCGGUGCCCCAGACCCACCUAGAGGAGCCUGUUCUAUAAUCGAUAACCCACGCUACACCCCACCACUCCUUGCCAAAAACAGCCUGCAUACCGCCGUCAUCAGCUCACCUUUCAUGAAAGAUCAACAGUGAGCUCAGUAGCCACUCCCGCUAACAAGACAGGUCAAGGUACAGCCUAUGAGGUGGAAGAAAUGGGCUACAUUUUCUAAAAUAGAAAAUCACGAAAGGGGAUAUGAAACAUUUCCCUAGAAGGCGGAUUUAGCAGUAAAUCAGGAUAAGAAGGCCUCAUUUAAGCAGGCUCUGGGACACGUACAUACCGCCCGUCACCCUCCUCACAAGCCACUCACCCACAUAACUAAAACCCCAAUAGGCUAAAGACGAGGUAAGUCGUAACAAGGUAAGCGUACCGGAAGGUGCGCUUAGCAUAC
rnacentral:ncRNA from 1 species